GACGUAGGGUGCAAGCGUUGUCCGGAUUUAUUGGGCGUAAAGAGCUCGUAGGCGGCUUGUUGCGUCGACUGUGAAAACCCGCGGCUUAACCGCGGGCUUGCAGUUGAUACGGGCAGGCUAGAGUUCGGUAGGGGAGACUGGAAUUCCUGGUGUAGCGGUGAAAUGCGCAGAUAUCAGGAGGAACACCGAUGGCGAAGGCAGGUCUCUGGGCCACUACUGACGCUGAGAAGCGAAAGCGUGGGGAGCAAACAGG
rnacentral:rRNA from 1 species